CCAUAGUCUGAGAAUUCCACUAUAAAAAAUCAGAUUUUUCUCGUCGUCUCUUCACCGCUGCCAUGAGCGAAGUUCUCCAUGAACGGCAGCUUGUUCGUCUCAGGCCAUCCCAUCCUUUCUGCUGCCCUAAUAGCAUGGUCGGGAGCAGCCCUUGCAGUAGCCUCCUUGGCCCCUGGUCGAGCGUACGCAAGCAACAACUCUCUGCUGGAGUUUGCGAUGGCCUUAUCCGUUUUCCCUUCCACGGCAGGAGCUCCAACCAGCCACAUGGAUGGGUGCGGAAUGGAACGAUCUGCUACAGAUCAAGGCAGAAGAAGAAUGUAAGCGUUGUCGGAGCCCAAAAGCUGAGUGCCAGAAGCUGCAUGACGGAACAUGAAGUUUGAAGAUUCUAAGUUGGUUUGGGUGUAAAGCAAGUUUAAGGCAACUAUAAUUUGGGACUAUCCUUGUUACCUAUACACUUUUAAUAUAUAUAUUAUAUGCAUGUGUCCACCUUGACAACCCUAGAGAAAUCAUAGAUAAUUGUUAUCUUGAAUUCCUUGAUACCUAUUUGGAUAUGCAUUUGUGUAGUUCUUGCUAGUGCUUAAUUUUAAUCCAUAAUCUUGUAAGAUGAUUAAUGACUAUGUAGUGAACGUUAAAAGAUGACUUAUGACUAUAUGAGAUCUUAUCUGUACGUGAUUUACCUGGAAUUAAUAAUGUAACCAUGAGGCCUAUUAUGGCUCUGGCUUUAGUUCAGUAUGAAGACCUUUUCUAUCUUGUUAGAGGUUACCCGUAAGG